CCCCUCUCAGGAUCUCACCUGGAGAGUUUCCAGUACUCUGCAUCAGUCUUGGCUACGGGAGGGAGAGUCAAGCAGAGGCCUGCCCAUUCGAUUUCUAGCUUGGGCAGUGGCUAGCGAGUGGAAGGCAAUCUGCAACAAGU